CUUGACCUCAAAUCAGGUAGGACUACCCGCUGAACUA
rnacentral:rRNA from 1 species